rnacentral:rRNA from 1 species
AACGAACGCUGGCGGCAGGCUUAACACAUGCGAGUCGAACGCCCCGCCAGGGGAGUGGCAGACGGGUGAGUAACGCGUGGGAACAUACCCUUUUCUACGGAAUAGCUCUGGGAAACUGGAAUUAAUACCGUAUACGCCCUACGGGGGAAAGAUUUAUCGGGGAAGGAUUGGCCCGCGUUGGAUUAGCUAGUUGGUGGGGUAAAGGCCUACCAAGGCGACGAUCCAUAGCUGGUCUGAGAGGAUGAUCAGCCACAUUGGGACUGAGACACGGCCCAAACUCCUACGGGAGGCAGCAGUGGGGAAUAUUGGACAAUGGGCGCAAGCCUGAUCCAGCCAUGCCGCGUGAGUGAUGAAGGCCUUAGGGUUGUAAAGCUCUUUCACCGAUGAAGAUAAUGACGGUAGUCGGAGAAGAAGCCCCGGCUAACUUCGUG